UACAGAGGGUGCUAGCGUUGUUCGGAAUUACUGGGCGUAAAGGGCGCGUAGGCGGCUUACCAAGUCAGGCGUGAAAUUCCCGGGCUCAACCUGGGGGCUGCGCUUGAUACUGGUGAGCUUGAAUGCGGGAGAGGAUAGUGGAAUUCCCAGUGUAGAGGUGAAAUGCGUAGAUAUCGGGAGGAACAUCAGUGGCGAAGGCGGCCUUCUGGUCCAGUACUGACACUCAAGUGCGAAAGCGUGGGGAGCAAACAGG
rnacentral:rRNA from 1 species